rnacentral:lncRNA from 1 species
UAUUGUUAUUUAUUUAAUUAAAAUAUACUAUUUAUUGAUCACGAGUCAUUAAAAUCACUUCUUUUUUCUUUUUCUGUCUGCUUUUUCUCCCCAAAUCCCCCCAUUAUAUAGUUGUAUAUUUUAGCUGUGGGUCCUUCUAGUUGUGGUACGUGGGACGCCGCCUCAACGUGGGCUGAUGAGCAGUGCCAUGUCUGCACCCAGGAUCCGAAUCAGCAAAACCCUGGGCCACCGCAGUGGAGAGCGCGAACUUAACCACUUGGCCACGGGGCCAGACCCUAAAAUCACUUCUUACUUUUGAUAAAUAUGAGUCCUGACAAUUUAAAAGGCAUUAUGUGAGAAAACAUCAUUCUGCAACUGAAAGAGCGUAACUGUUGUCUUGACUGUGGUGACAUUCUCAUCAAUGAGCCUCCUCAGCUGGCAUGGUCUGCCCACCUGCGUGGGUCAGCCUUGGUGGAUCACCGGACAGCUACAGUUCAGCAACUUCCUUGAACUCUUAUCCUCAGACUUCUCUUUGUUGCCAUCUGCGUAGAAACCUGUAAAACCCUGUGCAGAACAACUCUCUCUUGUUUCCUGGAUUUCAUGUUUUACUCCAUUGUAUUUUCUUUUCUUUUCUUCAGUGUGAUGCAAGCUGAAGUGAAUAUUUAGGCAGAUUUCAUAGAAGGGUAAUUUUUGUUUAAGUUUUAAAAUAUCUUUGUUGACUGGGAUAAGAAUUCUUGAUAAAAAUAAGU